rnacentral:rRNA from 1 species
ACUCCUACGGGAGGCAGCAGUGGGGAAUUUUGGACAAUGGGGGCAACCCUGAUCCAGCAAUGCCGCGUGAGUGAAGAAGGCCCUCGGGUUGUAAAGCUCUUUUGUCAGGGAAGAAACGGUGAUCUCUAAUAUAGAUUGCUAAUGACGGUACCUGAAGAAUAAGCACCGGCUAACUACGUGCCAGCAGCCGCGGUAAUACGUAGGGGUGCAAGCGUUAAUCGGAAUUACUGGGCGUAAAGCGUGCGCAGGCGGUUUUGUAAGUCUGAUGUGAAAUCCCCGGGGCUCAACCUGGGGAACUGCAUUGGAGACUGCAAGGCUAGAGUGUGUCAGAGGGGGUAGAAUUCCACGUGUAGCAGUGAAAUGCGUAGAGAUGUGGAGGAAUACCGAUGGCGAAGGCAGCCCCCUGGGAUAACACUGACGCUCAUGCACGAAAGCGUGGGGAGCAAACAGGAUUAGAUACCCUGGUAGGCUAGCG